UACGUAGGGGGGCAAGCGUUGUCCGGAAUCAUUGGGCGUAAAGCGCGUGUAGGCGGUCCGGUAAGUCGGCUGUGAAAGUCCAGGGCUCAACCCUGGGAUGCCGGUCGAUACUGCCGGACUAGAGUUCGGAAGAGGCGAGUGGAAUUCCCGGUGUAGCGGUGAAAUGCGCAGAUAUCGGGAGGAACACCAAUGGCGAAGGCAGCUCGCUGGGACGUUACUGACGCUGAGACGCGAAAGCGUGGGGAGCAAACAGG
rnacentral:rRNA from 1 species